rnacentral:lncRNA from 1 species
AUGGGAGGGAGCACUCCAAGGCGGUUAAAUGAUUUGGAUCAUGUGACAGGAAGGCAGCGCAGGCCAGGCCAUGGGCUCUGGACACGCCAGCGAGGAUGGGCCGGGCGUGCCAGGUGGGACAAAAGCCUGCGAAGCUGCAGCUGGACUGAGGAAGCAGCUGCCGGCAGAAGAGGAGAGGAGGAGGGAAUGGGAGCCCCCCACCACCACUACCAAGACCAGAGAAGGGCAUGAGAUGGUUUGAGCUUGGUGAGGAGAAGGUCAGGCUUGCAGAAUGCUGGAGUGAUGCGGCUAAAGCUGACCCCUCUGGAGGGGGCAAAGACCCAGCAGGGUGGGUGGGGAGAGGAGGGAAGGCCAUUUUCCUUUCCCAUGUUAUUAGAGCUGGGUGAAGAACAGACUUUUUUGGUUCACUGGCGGUAGUUCUGAAAAACUGGGGAAAAAACUGUUGGGUUUCAGUUUCCUUUUGAUUUUGAACAUUGACUCGCGCGUCUCAUUCUUCCAAAUAAAAUUCAAGGCCAUUUCA